rnacentral:snRNA from 1 species
AGCUUUGCUCAGUGGCGGUAUUAUGACCAACGAGUUCUAUCUGAGGCCCGAUUAUUGCUACUUGACAACUUUUCCCACUACGACUAUUGAAAUAUAGUUCGGAUUGGCAAUUUUUACACAAUCUGUAUGGAA